AAGCAUCAUGAAAACCUAUCAACAUUUGCAAAGAAGCUUCCCAAGCCCAAAUCAACGCCAUGUUCAUCCAGCAUCUGCUGCGCAAGAAGUUUUUUUUUUUUUAUUUUCUGCGACACGCACAUUUACAGCAUCCUGGAUGAGUAAACACGCAUCUAUAAAACACAUUUCAUGUUGUGAAAUGAACACUUGACUGGGGGCGUGGCCUCCGUGACAACUCCAUGGCGUCACACUGUCACCGAGGCUGAAACCUCGUGCAGCAAAAGGGCGGUCAAUAUGACGGCAGACACCGAUCAGAGCGCACGAGGAACACGCUGCUGCCACCAACACACGCCCACGCUGGUCACGGAUGGCUGAAUCUCUGUGGGGGACUCGUCAAGACUGGACGGCCAGUUCGAAAGAGCACAGUGUGACAGGUGACACAAGGCUGAAAACAUCUGCACAGGCCUCUCAAACAAUACAAAAGGCAAGCUAUUUCUUCAACAAAAAGCUUAGAGGAAGGCUGUGGUGACUGUUGAAAUAGCUGAAACACUGAAAUCUAGAAAGGAUCUGCAACAUAGCUUAAACUUUAAGCCACUAAAUAUGAUUGAGUCAAGCUUUGGAAUGAAACAAACAUCAGCAUUCAGAAUUUAAGGACACGGAAAAUAUGUGACAGAAAGAAACCCAAAGAUAUUUUGGAUGUUAAGUAUUAACACAGUUAAUUGAGUUUAUUUAUCAAAUGUAACCCAUUAAUCAACUUGUAACUAAUAUAUUGCAAUAUGGUUUUUAAGGUACUUAAAGAAAAUAUUGAGGAUACACUUGAAAUUGAAAUGUCAAGAUACAAAAGGGCUUUCAUGCCAAGACACAAAUAUUGCAUGCAGAAAUUAAGGCGUUCAGUGUUUACAUUCGACCUCACUUCUCAAACUGCAAGUGGAGAGAAGAUUUUUUAAAUCUGAAGAGGGUUGACCUUUCUCCAGCGACAUAUAAGUUUGGCGUUAACAUAUUAGUUUAUGAGUUUUACUUGUUUGUUUUUUUCUCAUGAGGGCAGUUCACUUUAUUCAUCAAAAGUUAUUCAUGGCAUCAAACUGUGUGCCGCCUUACUGAACAGAUUUGGCCCAAAUAAAUUCAAUAUUUCACAUGCAAAUGUAUAAUGAUAAUUUAAAGAUCCCCUCAUGAAGUGAAUUUUCUGUCGUGGUUAAUCCUUCAUAAAGAGUUUGGUUGACCUUUGUUAUUCAUAUUAUUUAUGAAUGACAAAAAAUAGACCCUCAUAUUUUGAAGUAAUAAACUAAUUCAUUUUGACGUGCAAUUUCUAUUCUAUUUCUAUGCGACUGCGCUUGUGUGUAAGUCAUAUUAGUUACCCUGCCUGACCACUUGUUAAUUAUUAAAUAUGGUGAGCAAUAUAAUCAUCCAUGUCAUGGAUCUGUGACAUUCUAAACAGCUGUUAAAAUAUUUUAAAAUAAUAAUCCAGACGGUAUGUUUACAGCAUGUAAGAAUGAAAAGACAAAGGAACGGAAGACAAUGGAAAAUGGGUCACCGAGAACGAAUUAAAAACAUCAUGAAGGGUGUGUUGAAGUGAUGAUUGACAUGAAUAAUAAAAUUAUCUUCCUUGUGUCUGUCUCAUUUCCCCAUGUCAAUAAAGUGUUCUUGUGUGGUCUCUUUUU